GAUGAACGCUAGCGGGAGGCCUAACACAUGCAAGCCGAGCGGUAUUUGUUCUUCGGAACCGAGAGAGCGGCGCACGGGUGCGGAACACGUGUGCAACCUGCCUUUAUCUGGGGGAUAGCCUUUCGAAAGGAAGAUUAAUACCCCAUAAUAUAUUGAGUGGCAUCACUUGAUAUUGAAAACUCCGGUGGAUAGUGAUGGGCACGCGCCAGAUUACAUAGUUGGUGAGGUAACGGCUCACCAAGUCAAUGAUCUUUAGGGGGCGUGAGGGGGUGACCCCUCACACUGGCACGGAGACUCAGACCCGACUCGUGCGGUAGGCAGCAGUGAGGAAUGCUGUGCGAGGGUAUAGCGCCGGAACCAGCCAUCCGGGUUGAAGGGCCGCGGGCCUCAGGGUGAUAGAUUUCUUUUGUAAAGGGUUAAAGUAAUUUUGUGGGCCGUAGUUGAAGGUAGCUUACGAAUAAGCACCGGCUAACUCCGUG
rnacentral:rRNA from 1 species